UACGAAGGGGGCUAGCGUUGUUCGGAAUUACUGGGCGUAAAGCGCGCGUAGGCGGUUUUGCAAGCCAGAGGUGAAAUGCCUGAGCUCAACUUAGGAAUUGCCUUUGGGACUGCGAGGCUUUGAGGACUGGAGAGGUGGGUGGAAUUCCCAGUGUAGAGGUGAAAUUCGUAGAUAUGUGGAGGAACACCAGUGGCGAAGGCGACUCUUUGGCCUGUAACUGACGCUGAGGCGCGAAAGCGUGGGGAGCAAACAGG
rnacentral:rRNA from 1 species